UACAGGGGAGAUGCAGUGUUGUGAAUUACUGGGCGUAAAGGGCGCGUAGGCGGCCUACUAAGUCAGACGUGAAAUCCCUCGGCUUAACCGGGGAACUGCGUCUGAUACUGGAUGGCUUGAGUUUGGGAGAGGGAUGCGGAAUUCCAGGUGUAGCGGUGAAAUGCGUAGAUAUCUGGAGGAACACCGGUGGCGAAGGCGGCAUCCUGGACCAACACUGACGCUGAGGUAGCGAAAGCCAGGGGAGCAAAC
rnacentral:rRNA from 1 species